rnacentral:rRNA from 1 species
CGAACGCUGGCGGCGUGCUUAACACAUGCACGUCGAACGGCAAGGCCCCUUUGGGGGUACUCGAGUGGCGAACGGGUGAGUAACACGUGAGUAACCUGCCCUUGACUUCGGGAUAACUUCAGGAAACUGGGGCUAAUACCGGAUAGGAAUCCUUGCUGCAUGGUGGGGGUUGGAAAGCUUCGGCGGUUUUGGAUGGACUCGCGGCUUAUCAGCUUGUUGGUGGGGUAGUGGCUUACCAAGGCUUUGACGGGUAGCCGGCCUGAGAGGGCGACCGGCCACAUUGGGACUGAGAUACGGCCCAGACUCCUACGGGAGGCAGCAGUGGGGAAUAUUGCACAAUGGGCGGAAGCCUGAUGCAGCAACGCCGCGUGCGGGAUGACGGCCUUCGGGUUGUAAACCGCUUUCAGCAGGGGCGAAGCUUGUGGUGACGGUACCUGCAGAAGAAGCACCGGCUAACUACGUG